ensembl:lncRNA
AAUAAUUUAAAAAUUAUUCUUAAAUAACUUUGUGCUGAAUCAGAGAUCUAGGACUCAGGAAUAUAAUCUGGGACAUUUAAGAGUGCUUGCACUUUUAAGUAAUCCACAUUUUUGUUCUUAAUAUCACAUAUAAAGCAAAAAGAAGAGAGAAUUCAGUGAAUAUAUAGAAAGAACUUUCAGUCAUAUUUUAAUGAUAUGCCAGAAAACUACAGUAACUCUGAUGCAUCCUUGACUCAAAUAGUUCUGCAGAACUACCAGAUGCAAGAGGGGUUAUAGGAUGAUGAAGAAUAGCCAUGGACAAAAUAAAUAAAUUAAUUAAAUAAAAGGGUGAUUGAGAGACUGUGAAAUGAAAUGCUACCUCAGAUCUUACCCUGCCUACCUUGAAAACGCGUGGAAUUCAUUUCAUACUACAUCUGAGCCAGUUUAACUUUUCUUUGCAGAUAUCUUGAAUGUUGCCAAAUAUGAUUAAAAGAAUAGUUUACGUUCUCAUCAGGUACCACCUCCAUGACAUACAGAACCCAAAUUUUAAUCAUGAGCAAAUGGAGCUUUCACCAAAGUACUGAUAACUGCUCUUGAAAUAGGAAACCAAGCCCUGGUGAGAUGGAAGAGACAGUUCAAGUCUUGUUGCUGAAAACACCUUUACCAGUCUCAAGGUAAUAAAUUUGGAGACAUGCAGAUAUCCAUUACUUUAUUCUGUCAACCGUACUUGGGUUCACAAUAGCUUAAGUCAAUUAUCACAGUUAUAUUUUCCACAUAUCCAGGAACUCAAAGAUUACAGCAUCCCCUCUCAAAUCAUAAAUGCCAUACCUGCAGGCUGAACCACAUUAUACUCUGAGACUUUUGUGUUGUUAACAGCAUGAAGUCUGCCCAUGGAGAGAAAUGAGCGCUGCCAAAGCUAUGAGGGAUGAUGACUAUUUUACUGCUGUGCAUUUAAUAAUCCCCAUUCAGCAAAAAAUUCCUGGAGUCUUACAUCAUUCAGACUACCCAAACAUUGGAUACAAUGACUAAAGGAAAGAAGUGCAGUAACAACUUUGAGGCUGUAGUUUAUUUUUGUAUUUGUUUCCUUCUUCUUCUUCUUCUUCUUUUUAAAGUAUGCUUCUUAAUACUAUGCACUAUACUGUAGAGAAAAAGAUUACAUACUGAAGUUGUAAAUGACACUUGUAAGUAAUAAAGCC